AACAUCUAUUCAGUCAGAAUUAAAAACCUGAUUUCUUUUAUUUUUCCCUUUUAGUUGAGUUAUAUAAGUCCCUUAUAUUUUGCCCAUUAACCCCUUUAUAGAUACAAGUUUACUAGGAUUAGAAAUGCUAUUAACUUUUUCAAAGAUGACAGUACUGAGAAUCAGAGCAGCAACACCUCACCCCAUGCCCUGCCCCAAAAGCUGUACCCACCAAGCGAGUGUGCUAUGAAACAGUUGACGGAUGGCAUCUGUCCCUUUGUCUAAUGACGGUGAUACUUAAUGCUGAACAUUUACCAAGUGUUUCCACCUACGUCUCUCCUGCCAGCUGCCUUUGUUUCUCUUCCUGUUGCUGUGAUGAAGUCCUCUAAAACAAGCAACUGAGAGAAGAAAGGAUUCACUCUGGCUCACGGUUUAAGGGUACAAUCCAUCAUGGAUCCCAGCCAGGGGAAUGGCACCACCUCUAGUGGAUCUUCCUCACUUAACUAAGGCAACAAAGUUAAUCCUCCAAAAGCAAGCCUACAGGUCCACCUACCAGCAGCAUGAAUGCUUGUGCACCACGUGCCUGAAGAAGAGAGAGCAUUGCAUCUCUGGACUGGAGUUACAGACAGCUGUGAGCUGCCAUGUGGAUACUGAGAAUCGAACCCCAGGUCCUCUGGAAGAGCAGCCAGUGCUCUUAACUGCUGAGUCAAUGCUCCAGUCUUUCCAGAUGAUUCUAGAGCUCAUCAAGUUGACAACGGAGAUUAAUCAUCAUAUCGUCCUUUUACCCAUGAGGUAUUAUAGAUAAAUGAAAAUA